UAGGGCGGGACACGUGGUAUCCUGUCUGAAUAUGGGGGGACCAUCCUCCAAGGCUAAAUACUCCUGACUGACCGAUAGUGAACCAGUACCGUGAGGGAAAGGCGAAAAGAACCCCGGCGAGGGGAGUGAAAAAGAACCUGAAACCGUGUACGUACAAGCAGUGGGAGCACAGGUUUACCUGUGUGACUGCGUACCUUUUGUAUAAUGGGUCAGCGACUUAUAUUCUGUAGCAAGGUUAACCGAAUAGGGGAGCCGGAGGGAAACCGAGUCUUAAUUGGGCGUUAAGUUGCAGGGUAUAGACCCGAAACCCGGUGAUCUAGCCAUGGGCAGGUUGAAGGUUGGGUAACACUAACUGGAGGACCGAACCGACUAAUGUUGAAAAAUUAGCGGAUGACCUGUGGCUGGGGGUGAAAGGCCAAUCAAACCGGGAGAUAGCUGGUUCUCCCCGAAAGCUAUUUAGGUAGCGCCUCGUGAAUUCAUCUCCGGGGGUAGAGCACUGUUUCGGCUAGGGGGCCAUCCCGGCUUACCAACCCGAUGCAAACUGCGAAUACCGGAGAAUGUUAUCACGGGAGACACACGGCGGGUGCUAACGUCCGUCGUGAAGAGGGAAACAACCCAGACCGCCAGCUAAGGUCCCAAAGUCAUGGUUAAGUGGGAAACGAUGUGGGAAGGCCCAGACAGCCAGGAUGUUGGCUUAGAAGCAGCCAUCAUUUAAAGAAAGCGUAAUAGCUCACUGGUCGAGUCGGCCUGCGCGGAAGAUGUAACGGGGCUAAACCAUGCACCGAAGCUGCGGCAGC
rnacentral:rRNA from 1 species